rnacentral:rRNA from 1 species
AUUGAACGCUGGCGGCAGGCCUAACACAUGCAAGUCGAGCGGAUGAAGGGAGCUUGCUCCUGGAUUCAGCGGCGGACGGGUGAGUAAUGCCUAGGAAUCUGCCUGGUAGUGGGGGAUAACGUCCGGAAACGGGCGCUAAUACCGCAUACGUCCUGAGGGAGAAAGUGGGGGAUCUUCGGACCUCACGCUCUCAGAUGAGCCUAGGUCGGAUUAGCUAGUUGGUGGGGUAACGGCCUACCAAGGCGACGAGCCGUAACUGGUCUGAGAGGAUGAUCAGUCACACUGGAACUGAGACAGGGUCCAGACUCCUACGGGAGGCAGCAGUGGGGAAUAGUGGACAAUGGGCGAAAGCCUGAUCCAGCCAGGCCGCGUGUGUGAAGAAGGUCUUCGGAUUGUAAAGCACUUUAAGUUGGGAGGAAGGGCAGUAAGUUAAUACCUUGCUGUUUUGACGUUACCAACAGAAUAAGCACCGGCUAACUUCGUG